rnacentral:rRNA from 1 species
AGUGAACGCUGGCGGUAGGCCUAACGCAUGCAAGUCGAACGGCAGCACAGUAAGAGCUUGCUCUUACGGGUGGCGAGUGGCGGACGGGUGAGGAAUACAUCGGAAUCUACUUUUUCGUGGGGGAUAACGUAGGGAAACUUACGCUAAUACCGCAUACGACCUACGGGUGAAAGCAGGGGAUCUUCGGACCUUGCGCGAUUGAAUGAGCCGAUGUCGGAUUAGCUAGUUGGCGGGGUAAAGGCCCACCAAGGCGACGAUCCGUAGCUGGUCUGAGAGGAUGAUCAGCCACACUGGAACUGAGACACGGUCCAGACUCCUACGGGAGGCAGCAGUGGGGAAUAUUGGACAAUGGGCGCAAGCCUGAUCCAGCCAUACCGCGUGGGUGAAGAAGGCCUUCGGGUUGUAAAGCCCUUUUGUUGGGAAAGAAAAGCAGCAGGUUAAUACCCCGCUGUUCUGACGGUACCCAAAGAAUAAGCACCGGCCAACUUCGUG